rnacentral:rRNA from 1 species
AUACGUAGGUGGCGAGCGUUGUCCGGAAUUACUGGGUGUAAAGGGAGCGUAGGCGGGGGAUCAAGUUGAAUGUUUAAACUAUCGGCUCAACCGAUAAUCGCGUUCAAAACUGAUUUUCUUGAGUGAAGUAGAGGCAGGCGGAAUUCCUAGUGUAGCGGUGAAAUGCGUAGAUAUUAGGAGGAACACCAGUGGCGAAGGCGGCCUGCUGGGCUUUAACUGACGCUGAAGCUCGAAAGCGUGGGGAGCAAACAGGAUUAGAUACCCUGGUAGUCCACGCUGUAAACGAUGAUUACUAGGUGUGGGGGGACUGACCCCUUCCGUGCCGGAGUCAACACAAUAAGUAAUCCACCUGGGGAGUACGAUCGCAAGAUUGAA